rnacentral:misc_RNA from 1 species
AAGUCGUAACAAGGUCUCCGUAGGUGAACCUGCGGAGGGAUCAUUACUGAGUGAGGGCCCUCGUGGUCCGACCUCCAACCCUUUGUCGUCCGACUCUGUUGCCUCGGGGGCGUCCCCGGCGUUCGCGCCAGGGGCCCCCGGCGGUCCACACAACUCUGCAUCUUUGCGUCUGAGUAAACAUUAAAUGAAACAAAACUUUCAACAACGGAUCUCUUGGUUCUG